rnacentral:tRNA from 1 species
GACACCUUGGCCGAGUGGUUAAGGCGACAGACUUGAAAUCUGUUGGGUUCGCCCGCGUAGGUUCAAAUCCUGCAGGUGUCG